AGCUAUGAUCUUGCAAGGCAUCUGGCAUGCGCUCGGUCGACGGUCAAGCUCCGCCUGGCUCUUGAGCCCAAGUCAAGUGCUGUUUCCAUGCAUAUCCGGCUGGAGACGGCCAUGACGAAAUAUGUGGACUUUGCUUUGCCGAUGGCUAGACCAGAGCUACAAAGAAACCACUCGAAGAUCCGCAAGCUGCGCGGUUGUUGGUUGUUGAGAGUCUUCGAGACUAUCCAACGAUGACCCGCGUCUGUAGUCUUCACCAAGGACCAUGAUCGUGUGCAGACGAGCAAGUUCGCUUGCUCGCUCGGCCGCGAGAGUGUGCUCCAGAGCAACGCAAGACCGGCGUACAAGGAGGGCAGGUUUGACGAUUCCGAAGAGUGCAUCACCGACGUAGGCGUUCGCGCCUUUCCGGUGCAGCAGACUCUAGCGAAUACGCGCCGCCUCUUUCAUGAUCAUCUACGAUGACGUUUCGAGAAACACCGUUGGGGUUCUCUUCGAUGCUUUGCGCUCGUCGAGAGCUCCGAUGCCUCUGCUUCGGCGGAGGCGGCUCGAAUAGUUACCUGGUUGAUUCUGCCAGU
rnacentral:misc_RNA from 1 species